AAAAUCAGCGGUCCCAGCAGUUGGGGCAAACUAAGGUCACACAAGUUUGACAUAAGGCGAGCUGAAAGCUCUCCGCCAAAACCAUGAACGGCGAUGGCUCUUUCUCUCCGAUCGUCCAGGGUUUGUCAGAAGACCAUGACAUCCACAUCACCAUAAAAGAAGGUUCUCCAAACAGUGAGCAACUGCUGGAGGACGAAAACAAUGACCUUGAAAAUGAUUGCGAGCAAUUGUUUGAGAUUGAAGGCAAUGAGGCUGAAAGUGAAAGAGAUGAUACAAGUGAUCAAUUUUUUGACAUUGAAAGCAAUGACCAUGAGAAUGACCAAGGUGAUAUCAAUGAACAAUUAUUUGAAAUUGAAAGCAAUAACCAUGAAAUCAGCAGGGAUGAUAGAACGUUAAUUGAUGAUCAAAAUGGUGGAUCUCAAGAAAAGGACUAUCCCCCACCCUUUGUGGGUUUGGAGUUUGAUUCAUACGAUGAUGCUUACAAUUAUUAUAAUUACUAUGCCAAGGCACUUGGGUUUGCCAUCAGGGUGAAAUCUUCAUGGACAAAACGUAACAGCAAAGAAAAGCGUGGUGCAGUGCUCUGUUGCAACUGUGAGGGUUUUAAAACAAUUAAAGAAGCAAACAGUCGCAAGAAAGAAACAAGAACGGGCUGUCUGGCAAUGAUAAGGUUGAGGUUAGUGGAAUCUAACAGAUGGAGGGUGGAUGAAGUCAAACUUGAACACAACCAUUUAUUCGAUCCUGAAAGAGCUCAGAACUCCAAGUCGCACAAGAGGAUGGAUUUUGGGGCUAAAAGAAAGAUGGAGUCAACCCCUGAUGUUGAAGUGCGUACGAUCAAGUUAUAUCGGACACCUGUUGUGGAUGCUGUUGGUUAUGGAAGCUCAAACUCCAACGAAGGAGAAACAAACAACCAGGUUGAUCGGUUCAAGCGAUUGAAACUCAAAAAAGGAGAUGCUAGAGCUAUGUACAAUUAUUUUUGUCGGGCUCAGCUAACCGAUCCGAAUUUUUUCUAUGUGAUUGAUCUGAAUGAUGAAGGACAUAUGAGGAAUGUGUUUUGGAUUGACUCCAGGUCUAGGGCUGCAUACAGUUAUUUCAAUGACGUGGUUUCAUUUGAUACUACAUGUCUGUCAAACAAUUAUGAGAUUCCACUUGCUGCAUUUGUUGGAGUAAAUCACCAUGGGCAAACUAUUUUGCUUGGUUGUUGUUUGCUAGCUGAUGAGACACCAGAAACAUAUACAUGGUUAUUUAGGGCAUGGCUUACAUGUAUGUCUGGCCGCCCUCCACAAACGAUCAUCACAAGCCAGUGUAAGGCCCUGCAAAGUGCUAUAGCCGAGGUUUUUCCUAGGGCUCAUCAUCGUCUUUGUUCUUCACAUGUUGUGCAAAGUAUUCUUGAGAAUAUGGGAGCUAUACAAGAACAUGAGGCAUUUCAGCUGAUUUUGAGUACGACUGUAUAUGACUCUGUAAAAGUUGAUGAGUUUGAAUUGGCUUGGGAAGAUAUGGUUAAGAGAUUCAGGAUUAAGGAUCGUGAGUUUAUUCGAAGUCUGUUUGAAGAUCGAGAGCGAUGGGUUCCAGCUUACUCAAAAGACACAUUUUUUGCGGUGAUGCCCAACAUUCAAAACGGUGAGUCGACGAACCCAUUUUUCCAUAGUUAUAUCCAUCCGCAAACUUCUUUGGAAGAGUUCCUUAGUGUCUAUGAUGUAAUUUUAGAAAAGAAGCGUCAGGAAGAAGCUCAUAAUGAUAAUGAGUCCAGAGAAUUGAGUUCAAUGUUACGAACAAGAUACUAUUAUGAGGUGCAGCUCUCUAAGUUUUACACAAAAGAUGUAUUCAGAAAGUUUCAAGAUGAGGUUGUGAUGAUGUCUUCUUGUUUUAGUAUAACUCAAGUUCACACAAAUGGACCAAUUGUAACCUACAUGAUCAAAGAACGUGAAGGGGAGGAAAUUCUGAGGGGUGUUAGGAACUUUGAAGUCAUGUAUGACAAAGCGGGAGCAGAAAUUCGUUGUAUGUGCAGCUGCUUUAAUUUAAAUGGCUACCUGUGCCGGCAUGCCUUGUGUAUCCUCAACUAUAAUGGUGUGGAAGAAAUACCGUUUCAGUAUAUCUUGUCGCGAUGGAGGAAAGACUUUAAGCGGUUGUAUGUUCCAAAUCUUGGGAGUAAUAAUGUUGAUAUCACGAACCCAGUUCAGUGGUUUGAUCAUUUGUAUAGAAGAGCAAUGCAAGUUGUUCAGGAAGGGAUGAUUUCUCAGGAUCAUUAUAUGGUGUCUUGGCAGGCAUUCAAAGAGACUCUGAACAAGGUCCGUCUUGUAGCAGACAAGCAUGUACAGUAAAAAAAUGUGAAUAUAGUCUUCCGUCAUUCUCUUUAGUCCUGGAGAGAUGCUAUGUAGGAAAGACCAGAGACAAAAAGGCUGGCGAUCUGCUGCAUGAAUUGAAGGGUAUAACCAAGGAAGACAACAGAAUGUACGGAAUUCAAAAGGAAGGAUCUCCAUAGGUGAUUUUGGCAAACGUGCUGGAAGAUAUGGAAGAAGUCGUUUAACAGUAUAGAAGGUGAUAUACCAUAAACACAAAGUGCAGAAUCUUUGAAUGGAUCAAACCAUAAUCCUACCCUUCUUGCCGAUCCUCCGUCGCGCUUAGGGUAACCCCGUUUGACGUUUCUGUAGGUAGUUUGAGCUGACGUUUCUUCGUCUCUGCACUCUUCUUAGCUUCUUCCGUUGUAAUUUGAAGAUUGUGCAACUACUCUUUUGAACCCUUGUAUAUUGAAGAUUGAGGAUUGUUGUUGGAUCGUUGCCUUUGCUGCU